rnacentral:rRNA from 1 species
GCGGUAAUACGUAGGGUGCAAGCGUUGUCCGGAAUUAUUGGGCGUAAAGAGCUCGUAGGCGGUGUGUCGCGUCUGCUGUGAAAACUCAGGGCUCAACUCUGAGCUUGCAGUGGGUACGGGCACACUUGAGUGCGGUAGGGGAGACUGGAAUUCCUGGUGUAGCGGUGAAAUGCGCAGAUAUCAGGAGGAACACCGGUGGCGAAGGCGGGUCUCUGGGCCGUAACUGACGCUGAGGAGCGAAAGCAUGGGGAGCGAACAGGAUUAGAUACCCUGGUAGUCCAUGCCGUAAACGUUGGGCGCUAGGUGUGGGGUCCAUUCCACGGAUUCCGUGCCGCAGCUAACGCAUUAAGCGCCCCGCCUGGGGAGUACGGCCGCAAGGCUAAAACUCAAAGGAAUUGACGGGGGCCCGCACAAGCGGCGGAGCAUGCGGAUUAAUUCGAUGCAACGCGAAGAACCUUACCAAGGCUUGACAUGCACGGUGGACCGUCAGAGAUGGCGGGUCAUUUAGUUGGUCGUGCACAGGUGGUGCAUGGUUGUCGUCAGCUCGUGUCGUGAGAUGUUGGGUUAAGUCCCGCAACGAGCGCAACCCUCGUUCCAUGUUGCCAGCAAUUCGGUUGGGGACUCAUGGGAGACUGCCGGGGUCAACUCGGAGGAAGGUGGGGAUGACGUCAAAUCAUCAUGCCCCUUAUGUCUUGGGCUUCACGCAUGCUACAAUGGCCAGUACAGAGGGCUGCGAUACCGUGAGGUGGAGCGAAUCCCAAAAAGCUGGUCUCAGUUCGGAUCGGGGUCUGCAACUCGACCCCGUGAAGUCGGAGUCGCUAGUAAUCGCAGAUCAGCAACGCUGCGGUGAAUACGUUCCCGGGCCUUGUACACACCGCCCGUCACGUCAUGAAAGUCGGUAACACCCGAA